UGGUAGCAAUAUUACAACUUAAAUUCUUAGCGCUGAUCAAAACUUUCGAGAGGAUCCUCCGUAUGAUAGAUACACUCUGAUAAUUACAUUAUAAAAAGGCAGUAUUUACAAGGAAGGAAUGCUCGGUUAUACGAGAGGCAGUGCUCAGGUUGCAAGAAUCAAGAGGUGGUAUAAAAUCUCUAAUACAUGAGAUAUUGUCUCUGACAUACCCCCUUCUCGGCCAGAAGUGGAUGCACAGUCCUGGGGACAGAGUCUUUUCAAGAGUUGCUAUCUGGAUUCUGUUCUCUCCCUUACUGUGUAUAUAGAGAUCUCUUCAGCGUAGCACGUCCCCAUGCCCGAAGGCUUGGGGGGCGCAGGCGUUGCAUGCACCCCUCUGGGGCGCUAAACAAAUACAUACAUACAUACCCCCUUCAGCAGAAUAGCGCAAGGAAUGAAGCUGGAUUAGAUUACC
rnacentral:sRNA from 1 species